UGGGGAUUAGCUCAGUUGGUAGAGUGCUUGCCUUGCAUGCAUAAGGCUCUGGGUUUGAUUCCCCAGUACCACAA
rfam:Ictidomys tridecemlineatus contig043135, whole genome shotgun sequence.